GACGAACGCUGGCGGCGUGCUUAACACAUGCAAGUCGAACGAAGUGGCGAAAGGGUGAGUAACGCGUAAUCAAACUGCACUUCAGAGGGGGACAACAGUUGGAAACGACUGCUAAAACAGCAUACUGAAGGAGGGGAUUGCGUCUGAUUAGCUAGUUGGGGGGGUAACGGCCCACCAAGGCGAUGAUCAGUAGCCGGUCUGAGCGAAUGAACGGCCACAUUGGGACUGAGACACGGCCCAGACUCCUACGGGAGGCAGCAGUGGGGAAUCUUCCGCAAUGGACGAAAGUCUGACGGAGCAACGCCGCGUGAGUGAUGACGGCCUUCGGGUUGUAAAGCUCUGUUAAUCGGGACGCGGUACCGGAAUAGAAAGCCACGGCUAACUACGUGCCAGCAGCCGCGGUAAUUC
rnacentral:rRNA from 1 species